UACGUAGGGGGCAAGCGUUGUCCGGAAUCAUUGGGCGUAAAGAGCGCGUAGGCGGUCCGGUAAGUCCGCUCUGAAAGUCCGGGGCUCAACCCCGGGAGGCGGGCGGAUACUGUCGGGCUAGAGUCCGGAAGAGGCGAGUGGAAUUCCUGGUGUAGCGGUGAAAUGCGCAGAUAUCAGGAGGAACACCGAUGGCGAAGGCAGCUCGCUGGGACGGUACUGACGCUGAGGCGCGAAAGCGUGGGGAGCGAACAGG
rnacentral:rRNA from 1 species